GACGAACGCUAGCGGCGUGCUUAAUACAUGCAAGUCGAGCGAAGUUUUUCUGGUGCUUGCACUAGAAAAACUUAGCGGCGAACGGGUGAGUAACACGUAAAGAACCUGCCUCAUAGACUGGGACAACUAUUGGAAACGAUAGCUAAUACCGGAUAACAGUAUUUCUCGCAUGAGAGAUAUUUAAAAGUUGGUUAUGCUAACACUAUGAGAUGGCUUUGCGGUGCAUUAGCUAGUUGGCGGGGUAAAGGCCCACCAAGGCGACGAUGCAUAGCCGACCUGAGAGGGUGAUCGGCCACACUGGGACUGAGACACGGCCCAGACUCCUACGGGAGGCAGCAGUAGGGAAUCUUCCGCAAUGGGCGAAAGCCUGACGGAGCAACGCCGCGUGAGUGAAGAAGGAUUUCGGUUCGUAAAGCUCUGUUGUUAGGGAAGAAUGGAUAUGUAGUAACUAUACAUGUAAGAGACGGUACCUAACCAGAAAGCCACGGCUAACUACGUG
rnacentral:rRNA from 1 species